AGUGAACGCUGGCGGUAGGCCUAACACAUGCAAGUCGAACGGCAGCACAGUAAGAGCUUGCUCUUACGGGUGGCGAGUGGCGGACGGGUGAGGAAUACAUCGGAAUCUACUUUUUCGUGGGGGAUAACGUAGGGAAACUUACGCUAAUACCGCAUACGACCUACGGGUGAAAGCAGGGGAUCUUCGGACCUUGCGCGAUUGAAUGAGCCGAUGUCGGAUUAGCUAGUUGGCGGGGUAAAGGCCCACCAAGGCGACGAUCCGUAGCUGGUCUGAGAGGGUGAUCAGCCACACUGGAACUGAGUCACGGUCCAGACUCCUACGGGAGGCAGCAGUGGGGAAUAUUGGACAAUGGGCGCAAGCCUGAUCCAGCCAUACCGCGUGGGUGAAGAAGGCCUUCGGGUUGUAAAGCCCUUUUGUUGGGAAAGAAAAGCAGCAGGUUAAUACCCCGCUGUUCUGACGGUACCCAAAGAAUAAGCACCGGCUAACUUCGUG
rnacentral:rRNA from 1 species